GACGAGUCGAACUUGGAAAACAACGACUCGACAUAACGAAACGACGAAUCGAACAUUUUGUCCAGGAUCUACCUUCUUAGGUUCUCGCAUGUCGCACAUUUGAAAUGGCCCUCAUUCAGGGAGCAUUUCAGGCGAUUAAUCGCGGAGAUACUCGUCAGAAUAUCUCUCAAGAUAUUUCAUUUGACAGCACAACGCUUCCCGUACUUGUUGCAGAACGUAUUGCGUCCUUCCUGAAUGGUAAAGAUCUGAUAAAUUUGGGAAAGACUUGUAUAUUGUGGAACGAAAUAUCUCGCAAGAACAUCGUUUGGAAAAUCCUCAUCGAGAGACGGUUUGGACGGCAGGCAGUUUCUGAGAACAAAAAUCCCGGGAUACAUUACAGAGGGGUUUAUUUCAAACUAGCUACAAGUAAGAAGCCUGCUACUUCUUUUGAUGUAAGUUGGCUGAACGGUCAUUAUUUACAGAAAGCGAAAGACAGGGAAAGCACAUAUGGAGAAGUGGUUCAACUGAACUCUGUUUGUUGGCUUCAAAUCAACCAGUUUUUCGCCGGCGUUCUUCCAGGAAAAUACGCUUUAGUAUGGCGUAUGAAACUCGAUGGAGUUUACUUAAACUCAAGGGAAUCGAUAGAAUUCCGAGCAAGGCCGGAGGAGGGUUGUGGAAGAGAGCUUUGUUCGAAAUGGACCGAGCCUGAUCUGAAACGUGCAGAACGCCGCUAUGGUAGGCGUAAAUGGUUUGAACAGAACAUGGGGAUUUUUGAAUUGACAGCUACCUGCAAGGUAUACGUUGAGAUUAAAGGAAGAAUAUAUCAGUGGUGUGGUGGCAUAUCGUGGGAUUAUGCUGAAUUAAGGCUACUCUAGUGAUAACUCGAUACAACGAUCAUCUAUGGCAAUUGCGAUUUGAUCCACAGUGAUUAAUUUCCUUUAACAAACCAAUAAUUUGUUUUCUGAAAUAAGUCUUUUUUCUAAGUUUUUUGGCUAAGGAGUGUAACAUUUCAUACUUACCUAUUUCUGGAAAUGUGGAAUAUUCUUAUUAAGUAUCGAUCGAUUUGAAACUUCAACAUCCCCCCUCCGCCCCCUUGGGCAACCUCCUAGGUAUUCAAACUUUUGAAGGAUGUUUUGUUCAAAUUCCCAUCCCCUUGAGCUAGGAUUAUGUUCAAAUGCCUUAACCCAAGUGCCAGUUUUAAUUUCAUAGAUGGUCACAGUUUUUGUGAAGGCAAGAGCAGUGACCAAGGCUCUCUCCACAUUGGCCAGCAAUUGAGUGGACACUUUUGCUUUAACUCCCCACCCCAACCAGGAAAGGGUUCAUUUUCCACACCCCUUACAACAGACAACAAUCAAAUGCCUUUGGGUUACUGAAGGGGGGAAUUUGUAGCUUCAAAUUGAUCAGGCCUAAUAGUGUUCUUGCUUUGGAGAUCAAAGUUGUGCUCUCAGUAGAACCUUCUAGUAUCUGAACACUCUUGUCUUGGAUAUAGGCAAAAUUAUACAAGCAACAGAUAGAGAAAAUAUGGCACCCUGUGACAUCUGGAAAUUACAAGCAAACCAGGUGGGAGCUAUAACAACCACAAGUUCCUUUCUGGUUUAUUACUCUCUCUUUUGGGUUUACAGUUAGUAUUAAAGUUACAUCAAGAGAACACUAUGUUUUCUGUCUCUAGCAGUCUGGACUCUCUAUAUCAGAUGGGUGCAAAGGUUUAUUAAUAAUAUACUGAUAUGCAACCUGCAUAUAUUACAAGGUCUUUUUUCUUAAGUUGUACUUGCCUCAAGUUUAUUGUUUGGUUUUGUUAAUUUGUUAGCUUUGUGUUGAUUUGGGCAAGCCCUUGACUUUCCUUUUAAUGUUCCUCUAGAUAAUCAAAAUAGUGUAAGGUAUUCCACUAACUUGUUGGAACAUGUACUACAAAGCUGAAAGCUAUAACAUGUUGAUUACAUGUAUUGAUUGCUUGGUGCCCCAUAUUGCCCAACAGAUAAACUAAUAUAUAUAGGGAUGGGGGGGAGUAAGGGAAGUGUCUCUUGUGGGCAUAUCUUAACUGGAUAGCA